AUUGAACGCUGGCGGCAGGCCUAACACAUGCAAGUCGAACGAGUGGCGGACGGGUGAGUAAUGUCUGGGAAACUGCCUGAUGGAGGGGGAUCACUACUGGAAACGGUAGCUAAUACCGCAUACCAUCAGAUGUGCCCAUAUGGGCGUGGCUUGUGGGUGGGGUAACGGCUCACAAAGGCGACGAUCCCUAGCUGGUCUGAGAGGAUGACCGUCCACACUGGAACUGAUACACGGUCCAGACUCCUACGGUAGGCAGCAGUGGGGAAUAUUGCACAAUUGGCGCAAGCCUGAUGCAGCCAUGCCGCGUGUAUGAAGAAGGCCUUAGGGUUGUAAAGUACUUUCAGCGGGGAGGCGUUACCCGCAGAAGAAGCACCGGCUAACGCCGUGCCAGCAGCCGCGGUAAUUC
rnacentral:rRNA from 1 species